CCCCGCCCCUUCCCAACCGCGGGGCGGCAGGAGGGCCGGGCCGAUGGCGGUAAAUCAGAACCACACGGGGAACCGCCGCGGGGUCAUCAUCCCUUACGGCGAGAGUGUCUUGAAGCAUUGUGAGGAUGUGGACCUCUCCUUCCUGCAGUGGCCAGAGGAAUCCCAUCUCUUUAAGGGUACAAAGAGGGGGAUGUUGUUUCUCACUUCCUACCGGGUGAUCUUCAUAACCUCACACGCAGCCAGUGACCCCAUGCUUUCGUUCAUGAUGCCGUUUGAUCUGUUGAGUAAUUGCUCCAUUGAACAACCAGUCUUUUCUCCCAACUACAUUCAAGGAACCAUUCAUGCAGCUCCGGAUGGUGGCUGGGAAGGACAGGCUACUUUUAAACUAUCCUUCAGAAAAGGAGGUGCCAUCGAAUUUGGCCAGUUGCUGAUGAAAGCGGCCUCUGCUGCCUCCAGAGGAGUCCCACUUAGAAGCCUGACUGUGCUGGUCGCACCGGGGAGCAUGAUGUGCACUUCGCAGGCGCCUUGUGUAGCGUACCCAGUUUUUGUCUAUGGUGCCCCACCGGGAUAUGGACCCCAACAUCCGGGAUAUGGACCCCCACCACCAGGAUAUGGACCCCCACCACCAGAAAUUGUGCCCUCACCACCAGGAUUUGUGCCCCCACCACCAGGAUAUGGAUUCCCGCCACCAGGAUUUGUGCCCCCACCACCAGAAUAUGGACCCCCACCUGAAGGAAGUGAAGCCCCUCCUACAGUAUACGAAGCCCUGCCUGCUGGAAGUGAUGCCCCACCUCUGGAAGAUGAACCUUUACCUGUUGAAAGUAGAGCCAGGAGUCAAAAAGUUGUAGUCCAUCCUGCUAAAGAUGAGACUUCUUUUCCCUCUACCUCUUCUCAGGCCAAUAUUCCACCUUCUAAGAAGUGAACCUGGAAGACUCACCAGGCAGAAGUGGCUUCCUAAAAUUGAAGUCAGGAGGAGGACUGAGGAACAUGAUUAAAGACCCAUCCCAGCCCAGGAUAAAAUUGGUCUCGUUAUCAGUUGUUUCACGUAAAGUAGCAGUUUUCAAGAGCCUGUCAAUGCGAAGUGAGGACUGCAUUCACAGUGCUGUACGAUCAGUCCCGACCUGUGACCGCGCCAGCCAUGCGAUCUAGCCGCGCAGAAUGGAACGUGGUCUGUGGCUGUGUCCUCCCCGCUGCCUUCCAUUCAUCUUUCAAGGCAGCCAGGAGAUAUUUCUGAGAAGCUUCCUGAACUCCACCAUUGGGGUAAUUUCUCUUCUGCUGGACUUACAAAUUCCCUCUGCAUGUUUCUGGUGAGUUGAUGUCAAUCCUUUGGGGGUGGCUCAUAUGCUCAUCAACCCCAUCACCUGUGAGCCGCUUGAGAGCAGAGGAUGUAUUCCAGUGCAGGGGUCCUGUGGUCCGCACAGCACACAGUGGGUGUCUUGUAAACAUUUGCUGUGUGUUCCUUGACUGCUUAUACACACACUGGGUGCUGGCCACCUGCUGAAGGGAGUGAUUUGCAGAGUCAGCUUUGUUUGGUAGACUGUGAGGAAGGAUUAGAAAUUAAAAUUUCAGAUUUAAAAGAAAGCUCUCGUCCUCCUGGCUGGUGGAGUUGAACAGUCUUGAAGGCAUGGAUGUCUCACGUCUCCUACCUCUAGUCUUGGUUUGUGUGGUUUCUACUGCCAGACCGCAGAUGCGCCCAUGGACUUACCUGGUGUUUCCAGGCUUUUGAAAGUGGACCCGUGAUCAAGUACUGUCAUGCGCACGCUUUCGUGGGUGCUCAAAGGCUUCAUAAGCUGACCUUACUGCAUCCUCACAGCAAUCCAGUCAGGUGCCCGCAGGAGUUUGCUGUGCCUGUGGUGGCCUGAUCUUCUGCACGUAUCUGACAUCCUGUGCCUGGAACCACAGAGGAGUGUGAGAAGACUCCUGUUCUCAAGACUGGGAGAUGCUUGAAAACCAGCACCAAGCCAGCCAGAGAGGUCGGAACUAGUCCUUAUAGAACAGUUUGGGAGGGAGACUGGUGUCUGGGAUCUUGUCAGAAGACAGGCCUCCUUGCCACCUGUGUCCUGAGGAGCAAAGAGAAGAUGCUGUGACCAGAGAGGCUGGUCUCACCCUGGUUCUGCACCCCCAUUAAAGCCUGCUCGCUGCUGCACACCUGUGCUGUUUCUCAGGGCGUCUGGGAUGGGCACUGCAUGGUGCACUCCCUUGGGAUGACCCCGUGGGACAGCGUGGACGCGCCUGGGCUCGGCUUUCUGGCGGGGCUCUGCUCCACUCAUGCAUUGCCUCGUUCCGGGAGAGAUGGGCCUUCUCAGUGCUGAAGUCGCUGCACCCCGAGGGAGCACUCGCCUGAGUCAGGGAAGCCUGUCCUCCAGCUCUCAGGGAGAGGGCCAGAGAGGAGCAGCAGGAAAUGUAUUUUACGACACGAAGACCCCCUGGACAUGCCGUGAACACUGCUGGGGGCUCGAAGCCCCACUGCAAUCAGGUUAGAGCGGAGAAAUCAGGGAGAGGCCGGGGCACUGCUGGGCAGAGGACAAGCUUCAGGGGCCUUGAGGGAGAAAGCGGAGCUGAUCCCUCACGCGCACCAGCCCAGAGCACAACUGGACAGAGCCCUGUCAGGAACUGUGCGAGCUAAAAGGCAGCAGACAAUGAUGUGAAGUUCCUGCACAGACCAGAUGCUUCCCCUGAGCAGUGUUAGGGCCUGGUGGUGGGGAUGUGGCCAGCAGACCCUGUAACACCUGUGUCGGGAGAAGAAGGGGCACAGACACGGGGCCCGGGACAAAAGCACCCCUGAGUUGGGAAGGGCAGGGACUGCGGCUGGGGGCAUCUGGCAUGUCUAGCAGGUCACUUGCAGAGCGCGGGGCCAGGAGAUCGCACGCGUCUUCCACGUGAGGCGCUCUUUGAAACAGGCACCCGUGUACUGCCGCGGGAGUCCCCAGCCGAGGCUGCCUGCGGCCCCAGGUCCAUGUUACAACUACUUGGCUAAGAACGAUUUUAUUGGUGACCCCCUGCGGGAGCCAGG